GCCGCGGUAGCUCAAUUGGUAAGAGCAUUGCACGUGUAAUGCAAAGACGUGGGUUUGUUCCCCACCUGUGGCC
rnacentral:tRNA from 1 species